rnacentral:rRNA from 1 species
UACGAAGGGGGCUAGCGUUGCUCGGAAUUACUGGGCGUAAAGCGCACGUAGGCGGUCUUUUAAGUCGGGGGUGAAAUCCUGGAGCUCAACUCCAGAACUGCCUUCGAUACUGGAGGACUUGAGUCCGGGAGAGGUGAGUGGAACUGCGAGUGUAGAGGUGAAAUUCGUAGAUAUUCGCAAGAACACCAGUGGCGAAGGCGGCUCACUGGCCCGGUACUGACGCUGAGGUGCGAAAGCGUGGGGAGCAGACAGG